rnacentral:rRNA from 1 species
ACACGACUACAUUAGAUACCCGCGUAGUCCCAGCCCUAAACGAUGCGCGUUAGGUGUAUCGGUGACCACGAGUCACCGAGGUGCCGAAGGGAAACCGUGAAACGUGCCGCCUGGGAAGUACGGUCGCAAGGCUGAAACUUAAAGGAAUUGGCGGGGGAGCACCACAACGGGUGGAGCCUUGCGGUUUAAUUGGACUCAACGCCGGGAAGCUCACCGGAUAAGACAGCGGAAUGAUUGCCGGGCUGAAGACCCUGCAUGACCAGCUG